rnacentral:snRNA from 1 species
UUGUUUGGGCAGCACAUAUACUAAAAUUAGAAUGAUAUAGAGAUCAGCACUGCUCAUGUGCCAGGACGGUAUUCAAAUAUGAAGUAUUUCAUAUUUUU